rnacentral:rRNA from 1 species
GAUGAACGCUGGCGGCGUGCCUAAUACAUGCAAGUCGAGCGAACAGACGAGGAGCUUGCUCCUCUGACGUUAGCGGCGGACGGGUGAGUAACACGUGGAUAACCUACCUAUAAGACUGGGAUAACUUCGGGAAACCGGAGCUAAUACCGGAUAAUAUAUUGAACCGCAUGGUUCAAUAGUGAAAGACGGUUUUGCUGUCACUUAUAGAUGGAUCCGCGCCGCAUUAGCUAGUUGGUAAGGUAACGGCUUACCAAGGCAACGAUGCGUAGCCGACCUGAGAGGGUGAUCGGCCACACUAGAACUGAGACACGGACCAGACUCCUACGGGAGGCAGCAGUAGGGAAUCUUCCGCAGUAGGCGAAAGCCUGACGGAGCAGCGCCGCGUGAGUGAUGAAGGUCUUCGGAUCGUAAAACUCUGUUAUUAGGGAAGAACAAAUGUGUAAGUAACUAUGCACGUCUUGACGGUACCUAAUCAGAAAGCCACGGCUAACUACGUG